AGUUGCUUGUCCUGGGGACAGUUUGUCUUGAAAACAAAUCAGAAGUGUUCGAAUCGCUUAGCGACUU
rnacentral:tRNA from 1 species